rnacentral:rRNA from 1 species
AGUGAACGCUGGCGGUAGGCCUAACACAUGCAAGUCGAACGGCAGCACAGUAAGAGCUUGCUCUUACGGGUGGCGAGUGGCGGACGGGUGAGGAAUACAUCGGAAUCUACUUUUUCGUGGGGGAUAACGUAGGGAAACUUACGCUAAUACCGCAUACGAACUACGGGUGAAAGCAGGGGAUCUUCGGACCUUGCGCGAUUGAAUGAGCCGAUGUCGGAUUAGCUAGUUGGCGGGGUAAAGGCCCACCAAGGCGACGAUCCGUAGCUGGUCUGAGAGGAUGAUCAGCCACUCUGGAACUGAGACACGGUCCAGACUCCUACGGGAGGCAGCAGUGGGGAAUAUUGGACAAUGGGCGCAAGCCUGAUCCAGCCAUACCGCGUGUGUGAAGAAGGCCUUCGGGUUGUAAAGCCCUUUUGUUGGGAAAGAAAAGCAGCAAGUUAAUACCCCGCUGUUCUGACGGUACCCAAAGAAUAAGCACCGGCUAACUUCGUG